rnacentral:rRNA from 1 species
GAUGAACGCUGGCGGCGUGCCUAAUACAUGCAAGUCGAGCGAACGGACGAUAAGCUUGCUUUUCUGAUGUUAGCGGCGGACGGGUGAGUAACACGUGGAUAACCUACCUAUAAGACUGGGAUAACUUCGGGAAACCGGAGCUACUACCACAUAAUAUUUUGAACCGCAUGGUUCAAAAGUGAAAGACGGUCUUGCUGUCACUUAUAGAUGGAUCCGCGCUGCAUUAGCUAGUUGGUAAGGUAACGGCUUACCAAGGCAACGAUGCAUAGCCGACCUGAGAGGAUGAUCAGCCACACUGGAACUGAGACACGGUCCAGACUCCUACGGGAGGCAGCAGUAGGGAAUCUUCGACAAUGGGCGAAAGCCUGACGGAGCAACGCCGCGUGAGUGAAGAAGGUCUUCGGAUCGUAAAACUCUGUUAUUAGGGAAGAACAUAUGUGUAAGUAACUGUGCACAUCUUGACGGUACCUAAUCAGAAAGCCACGGCUAACUACGUG